rnacentral:lncRNA from 1 species
AUUUGGUGUUAAGAAUAGAUAAAUAUUGCAUAUAAAUCCGUAAGAGAAAGACAAACAACACAACAGAAAAAUGGGUCAAGAAGAGGAAUAGGCAGUUCACGGAAGAGGAAGCUUCAGUGGCUGGUAAACUCAUGACAAUUUGCUCAACCUCACCAGCAAUCAGAGAAAUGCAACCAGAAACAAAGAUGCCAUUUCAUACUGGCUGAGAGAAACACGUUUCUUCCCCAAUCCUGAUGUUGACUUUAAAAAGGAAGAUUGCCCUAAAUAUUCACAGCCUCUUGUCUUACCCUUCCCCCUCCCCAUGGAGAUGGAAUGAGUUACCUAGUUGGGGGGGUCUUUGGCCCAUGUUUUUCUGCUGGGUGGAACUUAUCUAAAAAAGAUCCUGAAUGCAAGGAGUUUGGUCUCUUUUGCUCUCCCUCGCCACCUAAACCAGCACGAUCCAGCAGCCCAGACCAAAAAUAUCAGGGUGAGACCCAGAGAGCUGCCUGAGAGACCAACAAACCAUAUGGGACUAUAAGCUGCGAAGAACCAACGUGGACUUCGAUUUAGUGCAGAAGUGCUGCCACAUCUGUGGGUGAGCCCGGGAUGUUUCUGUUCUUAAGGAGCCCAGACACCAUCUAACCUGAGACCACCUCCCGCAAACUGCCCCCCACCAUGAACUUCUAAAUUCUUCGUCUUUUCUGACAAAUUUCACACUCAUUUUAGUUAGUACUUAAAGUUAAAAUACAACAUUUAUGUGUGGUUGGGUCCAUUGCUGCAUGAUUUAUAAUUCUCAAAGACUAGGGGGAGGUGAGCUAUGCAAUAAAGGGAAAUUGGCUAAAUAAAUUAUAGCAUGCCUACAUCCUGGGAUACAGGCAGCCUUUAAAGAGGUUCUUGGAGAAUAUUUAAGUUCAUGAUAUAGAUAGAUAGAUAGAUAGAUAGAUAGAUAGAUAGAUAGACAUAGAUAUAAAUAUAUAGAGAUGUAGAUAUAAAUUAGCAUAUAAUAUAUAUAAAAUUAGUGUCAAACAUUUCAUAUUUUACCCUUUAGAGUUGUCCUUAAGAAAAUACAACCACUCUAAAAACAGAGCUGAAUGUACUCGAUAAAGGAUUUCUCCUUUCGUGUCAGUUUGGAGAAGUUACAACCAUCCUAAAUCUCAAUAAGAGAGCCUUGUGCAGGACUGACAGCAGGGUUAUCAUCUACAGCAGACACUUCAGAAAACUUUAAAACUUUCUCUCCUUCUUUGCCCUGAAAGAGCAACCAAUGAGUAACUCAGAUAACACCAUCUAAGAGUUCAGGAAAUUUUAACUCAUAAAACAUUGUUAAAUGAAAAAAAAAAAUCAUGCUACAGUUUGUACAGUAAGAUCCCCAUUCUAUAAAAAAUAACAAAAGAAAAACUUUACGUACUUGUGUCUGAAGAUAUAUGCAUAUGAAAAAGUCUGAAAAGGAGAGCACAAAUGGACCCCACAGUGGACACCUUUUUUCCGUGUUGAUGCCAUCUCUGAACUUAGGGACUUGUAGAGGGUAGAAAGAUCCAGAAAAACACAACAGAAAAGCCAAACACAACCCAGGGAGGAGCUGAGUAGAGAACAGGGUGCUGGCAGACACUGGUUCAGGGCAUUUGGGGCCUAAUAGGCCUGGGUUCAAAUUCAGACCUGUCACUUACCAGGUGAUACUGUGGGCAAGCUACUUUUCUCUCUAAGCUGCAAUGUCUUCAUCUGGAAAAUAGGGUUUAUAAUGCCCACCUUGCAGUGCUAUCUGAGCAUAAAAGCACUAAUAUUGUAAAAUGUUUAGCAAAAUGGCUGGCAUAGAGGCAGGGCUCAGUCAGUGGGAGUAGGGUUUUUAAAAACCAACUUCAUUGAGGUGUAAUUUGCAUACAAUAAAAUGCACCAGGCCCCACAAAUCAUGUAGCUGUAGCCUGUCCUACCAUCACCAUAGAUUAGAUUUGCCUUUUCAAUGGUUUGAUAUGAAUGGAAUCAUAAGGAUGUGCUUCUUUCACUUGGCCUAAUGUUUUUGAGAUUCACCUAUGUUGUUGCCUGUACCAUCAGCUUAAUUCCUAACAGCCCCAAACUGGCAGCUCUCUCAAUGUCUAUCAGCAGGUGCAUGGUGUGUAGUAAAGAAUUAACCAGAGACAUGUCUGGCCUUUGCUUUCGGCUACUGGGAGGGGAUCUGUAGGCCCCUGGGAUGUCCUGCCUCCUAGAACUGUCUUUGUUUUCCUGGGGGCUCGGUCACCCAACAGUCUAACAAUGUGAUCUAUGAGGUGGGUUGGGACACACCACGUCAGCUCCAACCUCUGGGAGCAGCUGGAGACUGAAGGUCAGCCAUAUGGGCACUAUGUGAUCAAGCCUCAGUAAAAACUCUGGACACCAAAGUGCAGGUAAGCUUCCUGGUUUAGCAAUAUUCUGUGCAUUUUGUCACACAUUGAUGCCAGGAGGGUAACACAUCCCUGAGGACAUGGGAACUUCAUGUUUGAAGCCCUCCCAGAUUCUGCCGUAUGUGCUGGCACCUUUGGCUGGUUCUAAUUUGUAUCCCUUUGUUAUAAUAAAAUUGUGAUUCUAAGUAUAGCACUUUCCUGAGUUCUAUGAGUUGUUCUGGCAAAUUAUUGAAUCUCAGGGUGGCUGUGGAGACUCCUAAAUUUGUAGCCAGCUCAUCUGAAGUGUGGGUGGUCCUGGGGACCCCCAAACUUGUGGCUGGUGUCUGAAGUGAGGGCAGCCUUGUGGGGAUUGCUC